rnacentral:rRNA from 1 species
ACUCCUACGGGUGGCUGCAGUGGGGAAUAUUGCGCAAUGGGGGGAACCCUGACGCAGCCAUGCCGCGUGAAUGAAGAAGGCCUUCGGGUUGUAAAGUUCUUUCGGUAUUGAGGAAGGUUGAUGUGUUAAUAGCACAUCCAAAUUGACGUUAAAUACAGAAGAAGCACCGGCUAACUCCGUGCCAGCAGCCGCGGUAAUACGGAGGGUGCGAGCGUUAAUCGGAAUAACUGGGCGUAAAGGGCACGCAGGCGGUUAUUUAAGUGAGGUGUGAAAGCCCUGGGCUUAACCUAGGAAUUGCAUUUCAGACUGGGUAACUAGAGUACUUUAGGGAGGGGUAGAAUUCCACGUGUAGCGGUGAAAUGCGUAGAGAUGUGGAGGAAUACCCGAAGGCGAAGGCAGCCCCUUGGGAAUGUACUGACGCUCAUGUGCGAAAGCGUGGGGAGCAAACAGGAUUAGAUACCCUGGUAGUCCACGCUGUAAACGCUGUCGAUUUGGGGGCUGGGGUUUAACUCUGGCGCCCGUAGCUAACGUGAUAAAUCGACCGCCUGGGGAGUACGGCCGCAAGGUUAAAACUCAAAUGAAUUGACGGGGGCCCGCACAAGCGGUGGAGCAUGUGGUUUAAUUCGAUGCAACGCGAAGAACCUUACCUACUCUUGACAUCCUAAGAAGAGCUCAGAGAUGAGCUUGUGCCUUCGGGAACUUAGAGACAGGUGUUGCAUGGAUGUCGUCAGCUCG